GUCGCAGCUCUGAGACAUAUCGUGUGGUGCUUAGGAUCCAAGAAGUGGGGUCAGGUUAUGGGCACUGUUUUCCCCAAAGCAUAGAGUCACCUAUCGCCUCCAGUCUCCCGCCUCCCAUUCCUACCUGCAGUCUGUCAAGCUGGGGCCAGGGUAAGCUCUCUUCUCUUCCCUCCCCUGGCAGGGACUCAGAAUAGCUCUUUGCCCGCGGAGAAACGCGCACUCCCAACACCGCUGACCUCAGUCCCCGGCUUGGCAGGAAUGCUCAGCUGCAGAAACACCACAGGUCCUCGCUCUCAGACAAAAUUUGUCUAACGGUGGGACAGGAGUGUGAACCUCCCAGGAUUCCUGGAAGAAUUUGUCACAAUCAUGAAGACAGAGGAUGCUGCCUUGAAGCUCUUGUACACCAACAUCGGGGAGGCACAUAUUUACAGAUAAUAAACCCAGCUAUCAUUGAAGAAAUCGUA